rnacentral:rRNA from 1 species
UACGUAGGGACCGAGCGUUGUCCGGAUUCAUUGGGCGUAAAGAGCUCGUAGGCGGCUGUUCAAGUCGAACGUGAAAACUCGGAGCUCAACUCCGAGCCUGCGUUCGAGACUGGAUGGCUAGAGUCUGGUAGGGGGAUCUGGAAUUCCUGGUGUAGCGGUGGAAUGCGCAGAUAUCAGGAGGAACACCAAUAGCGAAGGCAGCUCGCUGGGACGGUACUGACGCUGAGGCGCGAAAGCGUGGGGAGCGAACAGG